UCUAUUACCAGAAAAGCUUACCAUUUAUACAACAUUAGUUGGGUUGCUGAAUGCCAGGAACUACAACUUUGGUGGGGAAUUUGUAGAAGCUAUGAUCCGCCAGCUCAAAGAAUGUUUGAAAGUGAAUAUGUAAAAUGAAGCUGAGUACUUAGUUCAUUUUCUAUCUGAUCUUGUAAAUUGUCAUGUAAUAGCUGCACCUUCAAUGGUAGCCAUGUUUGAGAACUUUGUGAGUGUGACACAGGAAGAAGAUGCACCCCAAGUACGAUGUGAUUGGUAUGUGUUUGCGUUUCUGUCAUCUUUGCCUUGGGUUGGAAAGGAGUUGUAUGAGAAGAAAGAUGCUGAAAUAGAUUGCCUCUUGUCCCACACAGAAAGCUAU